GAAAGGACUUUAGCAAGUGAGGACUUUGAUGAAAUGCCAAAGGCGCGUCCUUUUCCCCCUCCUCCUGCCAAGGACUUUGAUAAUAUGCUAAGGGUGCUUCCUUUUCCCCCUCCUCCUGUAACAAAUGUGGCCACUUUACUUUCAGAAAACGAGAGGAGUUUGUUCAAUAUAGACUACGAAGGCCCCCAUACACAUCCUUCACGGCCACCUCAUAAUUAAUCUGAUGAAUGUGCCCCCCUUCACUUUGAAGAAAUUAAUAAAGGGAGGACAAUGAAUAAUGAUCCCCUUCCUCCCAAAAGAGGGUGGCAGCAUUGGCCAACAAGACUCAGAUAUUCACUUGUCAACUGCACACUUGUGUUCUAGGUCUAGUCUCUUUUGAAUAAGUUGAUGAGUUAAGGUGAUGU